rnacentral:rRNA from 1 species
ACCCUUGAUUUUAGGUGCCAUCAUUAAGUUGGGCACUUUAAGGUGACUGCCGGUGACAAACCGGAGGAAGGUGGGGAAGACGUCAAAUCAUCAUGCCCCUUAUGACCUGGGCUACACACGUGGUACAAUGGACGGUACAAAGAGCUGCAAGGCCGCGAGGUGGAGCUAAUUUCAUAAAACCGUUUUCAGUUCGGAUUGUAGGCUGCAACUUGCCUACAUGAAGCUGGAAUCGCUAGUAAUCGCGGAUCAGCAUGCCGCGGUGAAUACGUUCCCGGGCCUUGUACA